AGCCCCGUAGUCUAGCGGCCAACUUGCCAGGAGGGCUAGGGAUACCAGGCUCUGGACCUGGCGACCCCAGUUCGAAUCUGGGCGGGGCUA
rnacentral:tRNA from 1 species